AAUAUCUUAAGUAAACCACAUGAAAUUGAAUGCAAAAAUACAAAUUAUGAUGUGUGGAUGGAAAAAUAUUACGUACAAAUAUAAAGAAGUGACCUUAGUAUUUACAGAGCAUGGAGAAAGGCAGUGGAGAGUCAUAAGGAGGGCAUUUGCGUCAAGGUUCUCAGGAAGAAUUGCAGAUGCUUUCAUUCCACAAAGCAUGUUGCCUGGACAAGUGUUCAGGAAUUUUUUGCCUGCUGGCCG